UACAGAGGGGGCAAGCGUUAUUCGGAAUUAUUGGGCGUAAAGGGCGCGUAGGCGGCUUUGCAAGUGACGGGUGAAAUCCCUCGGCUUAACCGAGGAACUGCCUGUCAAACUGCAUGGCUUGAGACCGGGAGAGGUGGGUGGAAUUCCCAGUGUAGCGGUGAAAUGCGUAGAUAUUGGGAGGAACACCAGUGGCGAAGGCGGCUCACUGGACCGGUACUGACGCUGAUGCGCGAAAGCGUGGGGAGCAAACAGG
rnacentral:rRNA from 1 species